rnacentral:sRNA from 1 species
AUUUUUUUAAAUUAGUAU